rnacentral:rRNA from 1 species
UUCGGCUAGGGGGCCAUCCCGGCUUACCAACCCGAUGCAAACUGCGAAUACCGGAGAAUGUUAUCACGGGAGACACACGGCGGGUGCUAACGUCCGUCGUGAAGAGGGAAACAACCCAGACCGCCAGCUAAGGUCCCAAAGUCAUGGUUAAGUGGGAAACGAUGUGGGAAGGCCCAGACAGCCAGGAUGUUGGCUUAGAAGCAGCCAUCAUUUAAAGAAAGCGUAAUAGCUCACUGGUCGAGUCGGCCUGCGCGGAAGAUGUAACGGGGCUAAACCAUGCACCGAAGCUGCGGCAGCGACGCUGAUGCGUUGUUGGGUAGGGGAGCGUUCUGUAAGCCUGCGAAGGUGACCUGUGAGGGUUGCUGGAGGUAUCAGAAGUGCGAAUGCUGACAUAAGUAACGAUAAAGCGGGUGAAAAGCCCGCUCGCCGGAAGACCAAGGGUUCCUGUCCAACGUUAAUCGGGGCAGGGUGAGUCGACCCCUAAGGCGAGGCCGAAAGGCGUAGUCGAUGGGAAACGGGUUAAUAUUCCCGUACUUGGUGUUACUGCGAAGGGGGGACGGAGAAGGCUAUGUUGGCCGGGCGACGGUUGUCCCGGUUUAAGCGUGUAGGUGUGUGUUCCAGGUAAAUCCGGUUCACUUUAACACUGAG